UUUAGGAAGCAGUGGCCAUCGUUUUUGCCGCUUUUGUAUGUACGGUUCCAGAUGCUUGAGAUGAUGAAGAAUAAAAGAAAUUAAAUGCCGCUUUGGAUGAUAAGUUGAUGUUGAUGACAAGUACUAUUGAUGAUACCCAUCGUUUCUCAUCUGUACUAAUGCUGCAGGAAAAACAAAAGGAGGUUGAGCCCAUCUACAUAGGGAGUCGAAAGAAAAAUUAAACUCAAAACUAGAGAAUGAGAAUGCGUCUGAUGAAAAAUAGGAAAUGAACACAUAUAAGGUAAUGUCACAAGGUGGACUUAAAAAGGAUCAAGUAUGCA